AAUACUACUGAUCUCUUUACAAUCUAUUGGCAUGUUUGUAACAUUAUAUAGAAUAUUAAUUAUUCUUCAUCAUUUAUUUUAAAUAUAGUAACAAUUUAAAAUGCAACAGAAAGUAAUUCAAAAUGUAUCUGAAAUCAAUUAAAUAUGUAACCCAAUGUAAUUAUCUUCACAGAUUGUUUUAAAGGACUCCUAUCCAUACUGUUGCAGCACUGUAGCAGAGCUGCACUAUUCAGAACUGAGAAUCAGUUCAGUUCCUCCUGUACAGAGCUGCACUGAAUGGAGCAGAGCCUGCACAAACCUAGAACAAUGAGAGUCGAACCAGGUCCUGUCAGUGGGAUGGUGGUCCUGUUUGCAAGAGAGGAAACUCGCUAAGUGGUUAAGGUAGGAGUAGAGUGUCUAAUAUUGUUACAUCAUCUUUUCAUAUCUUGCUUUAUUCAUAAUGUAUAACAUGCCUAUUUGAUUAGCCCUA